GGGCCCGCACAAGCGGUGGAGUAUGUGGUUUAAUUCGAUGCAACGCGAAGAACCUUACCAGGGUUUGACAUCCUGCGAAUCUCUUGGAAACGAGAGAGUGCCUUCGGGAGCGCAGUGACAGGUGGUGCAUGGCUGUCGUCAGCUCGUGUCGUGAGAUGUUGGGUUAAGUCCCGCAACGAGCGCAACCCACGUCUUUAGUUGCCAGCAUUUAGUUGGGCACUCUAGAGAGACCGCCGGUGAUAAACCGGAGGAAGGUGUGGAUGACGUCAAGUCAUCAUGCCCCUUACAUCCUGGGCUACACACGUACUACAAUGCUACGGACAAAGGGCAGCAAGUUCGCGAUGGGGAGCUAA
rnacentral:rRNA from 1 species